GGCGUCGUGGCCGAAUGGCUAGGCAGCGGAUUGCAAAUCCGUAUAUCCCAGUUCGAUUCUGGGCGGCGCCU
rnacentral:tRNA from 2 species